GUCUAUAGGCUUUGGUUAACUUAGAAGUAUAUUCAUUCAACAUUUAUUGAAUGCCUAUGAUGUUUAGAUCUAUGUACAAGAGAAGAGAAAAAUGAAUAACACAAAGACUUUACCUAAUACAUAGAUCAUUGUGUGCUUUUGUAGGCUGAGCAAAAAUAAUUUUGACAAAAUGGCCCAGUGUGCAGAAGCUUGUUGUCCUCCAUAGUCAAAACAUGGUCUUUCAGGCCAUGUAUUAAAAAGCAAGUGAAAUAGCACUGCCAUGAAAGACCAAAGGACAAUGGGGCUGUUCCAGAGACCUGUUUAGAAAAGUUGCUGUCUGGGCAGUUUUUGUUCAGUAGCUGCAUGCAUGGUUAAUGACCCAUGCAAUCGUGGACCUUGACAAAGUAAACAAUUUCUCAACAAUAUCUCCAAAAGACUAGACAGAAUUGUUCAACUUCUGUAACUAAAAGUGGAAUUUGAAGUGGUAUAACAUUAUCUGAGUAGUAUGAAUUAAGACCUUCGAAAACUGUAGUUCCAAUUUCUCAGUUAUCUUUUGUAGAACACCCAAGGAGAAGGGCACAUUCACAUCUCAGGCUGUUCAACCUACAAAAUAAGAGAACUAGUUGGCAUGAUACAAUCCUAUAAAGAAUUCCAUUCUGGAAAAGUAGUAAUGAGAUGAAAGAGACAUAAAACAGCUGGCAUGACACCGAAACUUUCCCUUGGCCACUGCUGCUCCCCACUCCAAACCUGUCAAGCUCAGCACAACUCACGUGUACAAACCAUUCCUCAGAAAUGGCCAAGCAACCUGCUAGCAUGUGCAUAUCAUUUAGUCACAGGUUCCCUUGGAGGAAAAAACUUAAAAUGAUUGGUCACGAGAAGUAUGCUGACCCACACCUCUGCAGUUUCUCAAGACAGCAGUCAUUCCUCACUUGUUCUCAACUGGAGAACUUAAGAUACUCCCUCUUAAGAAACUGAAUAAAAAUGAAAAUACACUGGCAAGAGCUGAACCAAUGCUGAAGGUCCCACAAAGAGAGGGAUCAUAACUGGUCACCAUUGAUUACUAUGGUAUCUGGCAUGGAACAGGCACCUAAUAAAUAUGUGUUAAUAACACAUGAAUGAAAUAAUAUAUAGAACUGAAUCAUACAGGGAAGGACUGUAGAUGGAAAUUCAUUACUUCAUCAAGUCAAUUUUGACCAGGACUUAGACUCUGGGUCAGCUGCUAUGUUCUAGUUAUUCCCCAGACUCAACUAAAACCUGGGAUUACAAGAAAUGCUCCAAUUUUACUAUUAUUUUUGUUCCACUAUUCAGGAAGGGGCAGAAUCUAAAUCUCUACUAGUCUUGUUCACCAAGCUAUACAAAAAAGAAGAAAUGAAAGAAAUAUUUGGCACACUAAUUGUCUUCUGUAAGAGAUAUUUUUUAGUUAUAAAAUGGAAAUAAAAUCAGUAGGAUAGUAUGUUAAAUAGUAUGUUAAAUACAAUUAAAGUAAUUAGCUCAAUGCUGGGGAAGAUAAAUACCUAAUAAGCAAUUAGUGUUAUUAAUAAAAGCAGCAAACAAUUUGA